rnacentral:rRNA from 1 species
CCUACGGGAGGCAGCAGUGGAGGAUAUUUCACAAUGGGGGAAACCCUGAUGCAGCGACGCCGCGUGAGUGAAGGAGUAUUUCGGUAUGUAAAGCCCUAUCAGCAGGGGAGAAAAUGACAGUACCUGACCAAGAAGCCGCGGCGAACUCCGUGCCAGCAGCCGCGGUAAUGCGGAGGGGGCAAGCGUUAUCCGGAUUUACUGGGAGUAAAGGGAGCGUAGACGGUUAUGUAAGUCUGGAGUGAAAGCCCGGGGCCCAACCCCGGGACGGCUUUGGAAACUGCGUAACUGGAGUACAGGAGGGGCAGGCGGAAUUCCUGGUGUAGCGGUGAAAUGCGUAGAUAUCAGGAGGAACACCGGCGGCGAAGGCGGCCUGCUGGACUGAAACUGACGUUGAGGCUCGAAAGCGUGGGGAGCAAACAGGAUUAGAUACCCCUGUAGUC